UGGGGAAUUUUGGACAAUGGGCGAAAGCCUGAUCCAGCAAUGCCGCGUGUGUGAAGAAGGCCUUCGGGUUGUAAAGCACUUUUGUCCGGAAAGAAAUCCUUGGCUCUAAUACAGUCGGGGGAUGACGGUACCGGAAGAAUAAGCACCGGCUAACUACGUGCCAGCAGCCGCGGUAAUACGUAGGGUGCAAGCGUUAAUCGGAAUUACUGGGCGUAAAGCGUGCGCAGGCGGUUUGCUAAGACCGAUGUGAAAUCCCCGGGCUCAACCUGGGAACUGCAUUGGUGACUGGCAGGCUAGAGUAUGGCAGAGGGGGGUAGAAUUCCACGUGUAGCAGUGAAAUGCGUAGAGAUGUGGAGGAAUACCGAUGGCGAAGGCAGCCCCCUGGGCCAAUACUGACGCUCAUGCACGGAAGCGUGGGGAGCAAAACAGGAUUAGAUACCCUGGUAGUCCACGCCCUAAACGAUGUCAACUAGUUGUUGGGGAUCAUUUCCUUAGUAACGUAGCUAACGCGUGAAGUUGACCGCCUGGGGAGUACGGUCGCAAGAUUAAAACUCAAAUGAAUUGACGGGGUCAUAGCUGUUUCCU
rnacentral:rRNA from 1 species